AGGAUGAACGCUGGCGGCGUGCUUAACACAUGCAAGUCGAACGAUGAUGCCCACUUGUGGGUGGAUUAGUGGCGAACGGGUGAGUAACACGUGAGUAACCUGCCCUUGACUCUGGGAUAAGCCUGGGAAACCGGUCUAAUACUGGACUACGACCUUCCCGCGCACUGCGGUGUUGGUAGGAAAGUCUUUAUUGUGGUUUUGGAUGGACUCGCGGCCUAUCGAGCUUGGUUGGUGGGUAAUGGCCUACCAAGGCGACGACGGGUAGCCGGCCUGAGAGGGU
rnacentral:rRNA from 1 species